UGUUUGUUUGAGGUCUGAGAAGCGUUUGUAUGCUUACUUGCUUUGUUCUGCUUGAGGUAUUUACCUAAUAACUAACCAAAGUAAGGCGAUCGAAACUGGCUCCACAGCAGUCAACGGCCACCACAAUACGAGCCUUCAACAUGAGUGGAAAGUUACACCCGGAAGCUGUGGACCAGAGAUGGACUAUAAAAACCCAGUAAACUGCAUUAGCUGUGUGCGUGUGCCGCAAGGGAAACUGAGGUCUCUAGGCCGCACCCAGCGCUGUCUUUGCUUAUUGCUUGAUUAGAAAUAAAACUUUUGUUACUUACAAGACUAAGUCAAAAUUCAUUACAAUUUGGUGCCGUUACUCGGAUGAAGGAUAUUCGGCGGCGAUCCUUUCUGAGGGAGGCGCCCCGUUUCUUUUUCUAGCGGCUCUUGGAGGAUUUUGCCGCCAUCCUUCACCGACGAACCUUCUAAAUUGCAAUAAGCAAAGUAAACGUCGGCAGCCCCUUAAACUUUGUGCACGAAGACACGAGUGAAGACGCAGAACGCAAACAGCCAUCCGAACUGCCGAAAAGGGGUGGACACACGCCAGCCGAGUUAAAGGUCCAGUCAAGACUAACGCCUGGACUGCAGAGCCCAUGGACGACCCUCUGAAAGUUAAACUCCAGAAACAAUAAAUGGACUUGGGCUUGUUGAAUCAUACCGUGCAAGUACAAAAAAACAAUAAACUUGUCCCAUUUGUAAAAAUCAUAGAGUUAGAUGUAUUAAUAUAAGUUGUAAUUGUUAUCCUUUUAUAUGUUUUAGAUGCACAGUGUGCCGGGAAAAACUGGUGUUUGCAUUGCCUAGACGGUAUUCCCCUUCGAGGGACUUGUGAUCAGUGUUAUUCGACUGAAUGAGAAAUUACUGAAUUGGCAUUAGAACUUAAAGCCUUACAAGGAGAAAUUGAGGUCAAAGGCCCUAGCUGGGGGAACAAAUACUGGAACGAAUUUGUUCCCACCCUAAUGAGCCGACUCCCCUGAAAUGACAAGUGUGUUGCUGAACCACUGUAAAGGAAAUAGCGUGCCAUUCCCCCUUGGUAAAAAGCUGCAACUGGGAAGCUUACAAGCGACAGUGCAGUUGCCGGAAACAUUCGGGGCCUCCUGAAGAAUAUUCUUGCUGCCGAGAAGAUGGUUUAUCCCGUGGCUCGAAGCAACUGAGUCGAUGGGCGAGGCAGAGGAAUAACACAAAGUGGGGGCAAAAACCCAAAUGGAAUUGUGCAGCAAUGUUGGGAGAACUACCCCAGUGCUAGGCAGCACAACAAAUUGCAAAAUCAAAGCAAGCUGAACCUAGACAAAUGCAACCCCACCUGGUAUGCUGUAUUAAUAUUAUUACUAAUGGCCAGUAAUGGGGAGUCAGCACAUAGACCAUACAAAUUGACUCUAAUUCAGGUAGAAGAGAGCCGAGUGAUUAAAGAGAAUAUUACAGUAGGAUCCCCUAGUUUUUCUGUAACCCUUUGUCAGUUAGCACCUAUACAACCAUGCUUAGAUCAAAAAGGUUAUUAUGUUUUGAAAAAUGAAAAAAAAAAAAAAAAAGAA